GCUCACCUGUCACGAAGUGACAUGGUGAGCUUAUGUGACCGUGUAAUGUCCGGCGUCCGUAUGUGUGUGCGUGCGUCCGUCCGUCAACAAUUUGUUUGUGUAGACAGUAGAGGUCACAGUUUUCAUCUAAUCUUUAUGAAAUUUGGUCAGAAUGUUUAUCUUGAUGAAAUCUGGGUUGGGAUUGUAUUUGGGUCAUCUGGGGUCAAAAACUAGGUCACUAGGUCAAAUAAUAGAAAAACCUUGUAUAGACAAUAGAGGUCACAGUUUUCAUCUAAUCUUUAUGAAAUUUGGUCAGAAUGUUUAUCUUGAUGAAAUCUGGGUUGGGAUUGUAUUUGGUUAGUCAGGUGAGCGAUUCAGGGCCAUCUUGGCCCUCU